AUGCCGGAAAAAAUCAUGAUCUUCCAAAAGAUGCGGGUUUCUAAUAUCCGCUAUAAAACGUUGCUAGCUUCACUUUCUCUCAUUCAGCUGCCAUCACCUAGGGUUCCGACUGAUCAAAACACCGUUCACGAUGAGAGCCAAGUGGAAGAAGAAGCGUAUGAGGAGAUUGAAGAGGAAGCGUCGAAAGAUGAGACAGAGAUCUAA